rnacentral:rRNA from 1 species
GACGAACGCUGGCGGCGUGCCUAACACAUGCAAGUCGAACGGACGAGGAGGAGCUUGCUUCUCCAAGUCAGUGGCGGACGGGUGAGUAACGCGUGAGUAACCUGCCCUUCAGACUGGGGGAUAACGUCUGGAAACGGACGCUAAUACCGCAUGACAUAUUUCCAUCGCAUGGUGGAGAUAUCAAAGGAGCAAUCCGCUGAAGGAUGGACUCGCGUCCGAUUAGAUAGUUGGCGGGGUAACGGCCCACCAAGUCGACGAUCGGUAGCCGGACUGAGAGGUUGAACGGCCACAUUGGGACUGAGACACGGCCCAGACUCCUACGGGAGGCAGCAGUGGGGGAUAUUGCACAAUGGGCGAAAGCCUGAUGCAGCAACGCCGCGUGAGGGAAGACGGUUUUCGGAUUGUAAACCUCUGUUCUAAGUGACGAACAAAUGACGGUAGCUUAGGAGAAAGCCCCGGCUAACUACGUGCCAGCAGCCGCGGUAAUACGUAGGGGGCAAGCGUUGUCCGGAAUUACUGGGUGUAAAGGGAGCGCAGGCGGAGAAGCAAGUCAGUGGUGAAAACGAUGGGCUUAACUCAUCGACUGCCAUUGAAACUGUUUCCCUUGAGUGAAGUAGAGGCAGGCGGAAUUCCGAGUGUAGCGGUGAAAUGCGUAGAUAUUCGGAGGAACACCAGUGGCGAAGGCGGCCUGCUGGGCUUUAACUGACGCUGAGGCUCGAAAGUGUGGGGAGCAAACAGGAUUAGAUACCCUGGUAGUCCACACUGUAAACGAUGAUUGCUAGGUGUGGGGGGUCUGACCCCUUCCGUGCCGGAGUUAACGCAAUAAGCAAUCCACCUGGGGAGUACGGCCGCAAGGUUGAAACUCAAAGGA